AUUGAACGCUGGCGGCAGGCCUAACACAUGCAAGUCGAACGAGUGGCGGACGGGUGAGUAAUGUCUGGGAAACUGCCUGAUGGAGGGGGAUAACUACUAAAAACUGUAGCUAAUAACUCAUACCAUUGGAUGUGCCCAGAUGGGCUGAGAUAGUAGGUGGGGUAAAGGCUCACCGAGGCGACGAGCCCUAGGUGGUCUGAGAGGAGGACCAGCCACACUGGAACUGAGUAACGGUCCAGACUCCUACGGUAGGAAUCAGUGGGGAAUAUUGGCCAAUGGGCGAAAGCCUGACGCAGCCAUGCCGCGUGGAUGAAGAAGGCCUUCGGGUUGUAAAGUACUUUCAGCGGGGAGGCGGUACCUGCAGAAGAAGCCCCGGCUAACUACGUGCCAGCAGCCGCGGUAAUUC
rnacentral:rRNA from 1 species